UACGUAGGGGGCAAGCGUUGUCCGGAAUCAUUGGGCGUAAAGAGCUCGUAGGCGGUCUGUCACGUCUGCUGUGAAAACUCGGGGCUUAACCCCGGGCCUGCAGUGGGUACGGGCAGACUAGAGUGCGGUAGGGGAGACUGGAAUUCCUGGUGUAGCGGUGAAAUGCGCAGAUAUCAGGAGGAACACCGGUGGCGAAGGCGGGUCUCUGGGCCGUAACUGACGCUGAGGAGCGAAAGCGUGGGGAGCGAACAGG
rnacentral:rRNA from 1 species